CACCAUGCGAGGGUUUUAUUUUCUUGCUAACUGUAAACGGAGUCGGUUUCUUUUUACCGCUGGACGGUUAAUUGCGUAGGUGAGGCUAAGCUGGCGCGCAGUGUAUGAGAUACCAGUACACUAACGCACACAAAUGAACUCAUUGUAAAUAUAAGCGCGGAAAACAUGUGCAAAUUUAACAGUUUUGUUGCCAGUGCAAGAAAGUAAAUAAUGAAGAAGCCAAAUUAAAAUUGUGAACAGAGAUUAGUGUAUUGAAAUGGAAAUAAUACGUUGUGAGUGAGUGCAACUGCUCGUGGACUCAAAAAAUAAGCGGCGGGGUCUAGUUGAAGUAAUUAUUGACCGCAACCCCCUUCCGGAUGGUAUUCUCGCAAAUGU